AACGCACAUUGCGCCCAUCGGUAUUCCGUUGGGCAUGUCUGUUUGAGCGUCAUCACAACCCUCGACACCUGUCGGUUAUGAGCCCGCCUGGCGUGAAACCCAGGCCGGCUUCAAAUUUGUGAGCUCUGCUGGCUGCUGCGCCUGACCGAGACAUAGUAAGACCUACUUGUCAAAGGUGAGGCGGGGGCAGUUCGGCCUGAACAAAACCUACCCAUUCUAAGGUUUGACCUCAGAUCAGACAAGGAUACCCGCUGAACUUAA
rnacentral:misc_RNA from 1 species